GGAAAAGAAACUAACAAGGAUUCCCCUAGUAACUGCGAGUGAAGCGGGAAAAGCUCAAAUUUAAAAGCUGGCAGUCUUUGAUUGUCCGCAUUGUAAUCUAGAGAAGUGAUACCCGCGUUGGACCGUGUACAAGUCUCCUGGAAUGGAGCGUCAUAGAGGGUGACAAUCCCGUCUUUGACACGGACUACCAAGGCUUUGUGGUACGCUCUCAAAGAGUCGAGUUGUUUGGGAAUGCAGCUCAAAAUGGGUGGUAAAUUCCAUCUAAAGCUAAAUAUUGGCGAGAGACCGAUAGCGAACAAGUACCGUGAGGGAAAGAUGAAAAGAACUUUGGAAAGAGAGUUAAACAGUACGUGAAAUUGCUGAAAGGGAAACGCUUGAAGUCAGUCGCGUUGUCCAGAGAUCAACCUUGCUUUUGCUGGGCGCACUCUCUGGUUGACGGGCCAACAUCAGUUUUGGUUACUGGAUAAGGGCGGAGGAAAUGUGGCAUCUUCGGAUGUGUUAUAGUCCUCUGUCGUAUACAGUAGCUGAGACUGAGGAACUCAGCACGCCGCAAGGCCGGGAGUAAAAUCCACGUUCGUGCUUAGGAUGUUGGCAUAAUGGCUUUAAUCGACCCGUCUUGAAACACGGACCAAGGAGUCUAACAUGCCUGCGAGUGUUUGGGUGGAAAACCCGAGCGCGUAAUGAAAGUGAAAGUUGAGAUCCCUGUCGUGGGGAGCAUCGACGCCCGGACCAGACCUUUUGUGACGGAUCUGCGGUAGAGCAUGUAUGUUGGGACCCGAAAGAUGGUGAACUAUGCCUGAAUAGGGUGAAGCCAGAGGAAACUCUGGUGGAGGCUCGUAGCGAUUCUGACGUGCAAAUCGAUCGUCAAAUUUGGGUAUAGGGGCGAAAGACUAAUCGAACCAUCU
rnacentral:rRNA from 1 species